AGUUUGAUCCUGGCUCAGGAUGAACGCUAGCUACAGGCUUAACACAUGCAAGUCGAGGGGCAGCAUGGUCUUAGCUUGCUAAGGCCGAUGGCGACCGGCGCACGGGUGAGUAACGCGUAUCCAACCUGCCUUACACUCUUGGACAGCCUUCUGAAAGGGAGAUUAAUACAAGAUGUUAUCAUGAGUAAGCAUUUUCGCAUGAUUAAAGGUUUACCGGUGUAAGAUGGGGAUGCGUUCCAUUAGAUAGUAGGCGGGGUAACGGCCCACCUAGUCUUCGAUGGAUAGGGGUUCUGAGAGGAAGGUCCCCCACAUUGGAACUGAGACACGGUCCAAACUCCUACGGGAGGCAGCAGUGAGGAAUAUUGGUCAAUGGACGAGAGUCUGAACCAGCCAAGUAGCGUGAAGGAUGAAGGUUCUAUGGAUUGUAAACUUCUUUUAUACGGGAAUAAACGGAUCCACGUGUGGAUUUUUGCAUGUACCGUAUGAAUAAGGAUCGGCUAACUCCGUGCCAGCAGCCGCGGUAAUACGGAGGAUCCGAGCGUUAUCCGGAUUUAUUGGGUUUAAAGGGAGCGUAGAUGGGUUGUUAAGUCAGUUGUGAAAGUUUGCGGCUCAACCGUAAAAUUGCAAUUGAUACUGGCAGUCUUGAGUACAGUUGAGGUAGGCGGAAUUCGUGGUGUAGCGGUGAAAUGCUUAGAUAUCACGAAGAACUCCGAUUGCGAAGGCAGCUUACUAACCUGUAACUGACAUUGAUGCUCGAAAGUGUGGGUAUCAAACAGGAUUAGACACCCUGGUAGUCCACACGGUAAACGAUGAAUACUCGCUGUAGGCGAUAUACAGUCUGCGGCCAAGCGAAAGCAUUAAGUAUUCCACCUGGGGAGUACGCCGGCAACGGUGAAACUCAAAGGAAUUGACGGGGGCCCGCACAAGCGGAGGAACAUGUGGUUUAACUCGAUGAUACGCGAGGAACCUUACCCGGGCUUAAAUUGCAACCGAAUAUGGCGGAAACGCUAUAGCUAGCAAUAGCGGUUGUGAAGGUGCUGCAUGGUUGUCGUCAGCUCGUGCCGUGAGGUGUCGGCUUAAGUGCCAUAACGAGCGCAACCCUUGCCGAUAGUUACUAACAGGUCAUGCUGAGGACUCUGUCGGGACUGCCAUCGUAAGAUGUGAGGAAGGUGG
rnacentral:rRNA from 1 species